CACGAACGCUGGCGGCAGGCUUAACACAUGCAAGUCGAGCGCCCCGCAAGGGGAGCGGCAGACGGGUGAGUAACGCGUGGGAAUCUACCCAUCUCUACGGAAUAACGCGUGGAAACGUGUGCUAAUACCGUAUACGUCCUUCGGGAGAAGGAUUUAUCGGAGGUGGAUGAGCCCGCGUUGGAUUAGCUAGUUGGUGGGGUAAAGGCCUACCAAGGCGACGAUCCAUAGCUGGUCUGAGAGGAUGAGCAGCCACACUGGGACUGAGACACGGCCCAGACUCCUACGGGGGGCAGCAGUGGGGAAUAUUGGACAAUGGGCGCAAGCCUGAUCCAGCCAUGCCGCGUGAGUGAUGAAGGCCCUAGGGUUGUAAAGCUCUUUCACCGGUGAAGAUAAUGACGGUAACCGGAGAAGAAGCCCCGGCUAACUUCGUGCCAGCCGCCGCGGUAACAC
rnacentral:rRNA from 1 species